rnacentral:piRNA from 1 species
CGUUAGGCGUGGCCUUUAUACC